rnacentral:rRNA from 1 species
CGCGUAGGCGGCUUUGUCAGUCGGAUGUGAAAGCCCCGGGCUUAACCUGGGAAUUGCAUUCGAAACUGCAGAGCUAGAGUAUGGUAGAGGGAAGUGGAAUUCCGGGUGUAGCGGUGAAAUGCGUAGAUAUCCGGAGGAACACCAGUGGCGAAGGCGACUUCCUGGGCCAAUACUGACGCUGAGGUGCGAAAGCGUGGGGAGCAAACA